GACGAACGCUGGCGGCGUGCCUAACACAUGCGAGUCGAGCGAAGUGAUUUUGAAUGAAGCCUUCGGGCAGAAUUCAAAAUUAUCUUAGCGGCGGACGGGUGAGUAACGCGUGAGGAACCUGCCUUUCACAAAGGGAUAGCCUCGGGAAACCGGGAUUAAUACCUUAUGAUACUAAUUUACCGCAUGGUGAAUUAGUUAAAGCGCAAAGCGGUGAAAGAUGGCCUCGCGUCCCAUUAGUUAGUUGGUGAGGUAACGGCUCACCAAGACUGCGAUGGGUAGCCGGCCUGAGAGGGUGAACGGCCACACUGGAACUGAGACACGGUCCAGACUCCUACGGGAGGCAGCAGUGGGGAAUAUUGCACAAUGGAGGAAACUCUGAUGCAGCGACGCCGCGUGAACGAAGAAGGUCUUCGGAUCGUAAAGUUCUGUCCUAGGGGACGAUAAUGACGGUACCCUAGGAGGAAGCCCCGGUAACUACGUGCCAGCAGCCGCGGUAAAUCACGUGUA
rnacentral:rRNA from 1 species